UGCUCCCAUGCGGAUUCCUCUCUGAAGAAGAGGAACAGCCUAAAAGGCCAACACCAGAUCGAAAGCCAAAAACAAGACAAAACCCAACUCCAUUAGAUGAGAGACCUUUGUGCUCAGAUGAAGAUGAUGAAGGUCCAUCAUUCUAUCCUAUGGAAAUGAUGGAGACCGAGGUAAGAAUCACUGAAUCUUUCAGUGGUCCUUCAUCUGAUGAUAUUGCAGCAACUGAAAGUGUAACUCAAACAAAGGCUUCACAUGAUCUGGCAACCAUACCUGAAGUUGAUCGAGAGAACCUGAACUUACCUGAACCAUCUAUAGACAAUGUGCCAAACUUACCUGGUCUUGAUCCAGAUACAUCUGAACCUGUGGGAGAAAGAGAUGCAAACUUCACUGAGUACUUACCUGAUCUGCCACAAAACCCAUCUGAACCUGUGGAAAAACAUCCUGCGGAGGUGGAAACUGAAAAUAACCCCUGUGUUGAAACAGGAAAGAACACUGAUAAUAUGGAAACACAAAACCAAGAAACUGAGUUUGAGCAGACUACAAACACAAAAUUCAACUUAACUGACACAACCAUACCUGUACUAGAAGGAAAUGAACAAUUAAUCGAAAUAAAACAGAAAAGCUUAGACACCUCAGACAGUUCUUCUCAAGAGCAAAUUGAGAAGGGAGAAGUUCAUACCACCUUAACAGGCUCAGUUGAUUUAUCAGACAGUUCUCAGGAAGUCAGUCAGCCAGCUAUGUCAAGUAGUGGUAAUGCCCCUGUAGAAGCAGCAGAUACGGAUGUUAGUGAAGUUGAAGUUGGUGUACGUAGGUCUGAACGUCAAAGAAGACCUCCUGGGAAGCUCACUUACCCUCAACUAGGGAAUCCUUUCAUUUUAUUUGUUCAAAAUGUAUUUGAUGGCCUUAAUAAGGCUAUAGUAGAAACAUUUGAGAGUAAUUACUCUUUUGAAAAGAGUGCAUGAAGGGACUCAUGCCAAUUAAGGAAGGGAGGAUGUAACCCUGGUGAAAAUUAGGUUUACAGAAUAAGAUUGUUGUAGUGUGAUGGAUGUAGUUUUCUUCCAUUUAUAUACAAGAAAUACACAUUACACAUAAAUAGAGAAGUUCUGGUAACAUACAUUGAUAACCUGGUUAGAAUCUGGAAGAAGGGAAACAAUCCAGUUAUUUUUAUUUUUUAUGUUUUUCAGUUAUAUUCCUGCAAUAAGUUUAUAGUUUUGUUACACAAAAUUCCCAGGUGUACUUGAAUGUGGUUUUCCCACAAUGCAGGACGUUGACAGUCAGCAGCCAAUCAGAAGCCGAGUUCAGCUGUUUAGGAGGCCAUAGCGUUUUCUCUGUCUUUUCCGUCUUGGGUUGCCAGAGGGGAGCCACGCUUGCAGUGAAGAGUAGAAAUCGAAAUAGCCUUUGUUAGCAAAGUUAUAAGCCCACACUAUUGAGGCACACACUAUUCCACGCGGGAGGGGUUGUGUCGGUGAUUGCAGCUUAAGAAGCUGAACGAAACGUUGCUCCGGCAUACUGCUCUCUCACUUGUCGGGAGUCUGAACCUCAACUUCACUCUAGUGACGCACAUGGGAAUCGGUCAGGUCUUUUCUGCAUGCUGAAAAAAGGAUCUGUGUUCCAGUGGAUUCAUAGGAUGGCGAGCCACCCAGUUGAUCUUUAGGACCAGCGUUUGUGUUCUGCUGAAACAGCAGAUCCAACCUUCUGCUGUAUGGUAGGAUCGUGAAGGACAUUGGAUCAUACAGGUCUCAGAUCACUGUGAACAGAAGUGCACUUCGAUACUCAGAUCUCUUGACUUUGGACUCACAGAUUAAAUGUGAAAUUGAUCUGUGCUGACUUUGACUAAGACAAUAUUUCCAAGCGUUGAGCAGAUAAAAAAAAACACACGGACAAUUUAUUUUGUUUUAAGGGCCCUCUUUUUUUUAUUUUUCUUAAAUCAUUUUGUAUUUCCUGUUGCAAUUUAAAAGUGCAUAGUAAAAUACUGUAAACUGUU